AAAGCGUAACAAGGUUUCCGUAGGUGAACCUGCGGAAGGAUCAUUACCUAGAGUUGUAGGCUUUGCCUACCAUCUCUUACCCAUGUCUUUUGAGUACUUACGUUUCCUCGGUGGGUUCGCCCGCCGAUUGGACAAUUUAAACCAUUUGCAGUUGCAAUCAGCGUCUGAAAAACAUAAUAGUUACAACUUUCAACAACGGAUCUCUUGGUUCUGGCAUCGAUGAAGAACGCAGCGAAAUGCGAUAAGUAGUGUGAAUUGCAGAAUUCAGUGAAUCAUCGAAUCUUUGAACGCACAUUGCGCCCCUUGGUAUUCCAUGGGGCAUGCCUGUUCGAGCGUCAUUUGUACCUUCAAGCUUUGCUUGGUGUUGGGUGUUUGUCUCGCCUUUGCGUGUAGACUCGCCUUAAAACAAUUGGCAGCCGGCGUAUUGAUUUCGGAGCGCAGUACAUCUCGCGCUUUGCACUCAUAACGACGACGUCCAAAAGUACAUUUUUACACUCUUGACCUCGGAUCAGGUAGGGAUACCCGCUGAACUUAAGCAUAUCAAAGGGGAAGGAAA
rnacentral:rRNA from 1 species